CCUACGGGCGGCAGCAGUGGGGAAUAUUGGACAAUGGGCGAAAGCCUGAUCCAGCCAUGCCGCGUGUGUGAAGAAGGCCUUCGGGUUGUAAAGCACUUUCAGUGGGGAAGAAAGCCUUGGGGCUAAUACCCUCGAGGAAGGACAUCACCCACAGAAGAAGCACCGGCUAACUCCGUGCCAGCAGCCGCGGUAAUACGGAGGGUGCGAGCGUUAAUCGGAAUUACUGGGCGUAAAGCGCGCGUAGGCGGUCUGAUAAGCCGGUUGUGAAAGCCCCGGGCUCAACCCGGGAACGGCAUCCGGAACUGUCAGGCUAGAGUGCAGGAGAGGAAGGUAGAAUUCCCGGUGUAGCGGUGAAAUGCGUAGAGAUCGGGAGGAAUACCAGUGGCGAAGGCGGCCUUCUGGACUGACACUGACGCUGAGGUGCGAAAGCGUGGGUAGCAAACAGGAUUAGAUACCCUGGUAGUC
rnacentral:rRNA from 1 species